rnacentral:lncRNA from 1 species
CCGCGGCCCCGCGGCGGGCAGCGCGCCUGCUCCUGCCCGCGGCACCUGCUCGGGAGGGAGACGUCGCAGCGCGUGUGGCACCUUCGCGGGCUGCCGGCUCGAACCCCGCCGUUUCGGAGGCGAUGGCAGCAGGUGAGGAUAAAAGCCUUUAUAAUCAAAAUAACAAGUUAAAAAUGUUUCCUUCACUGGACUGCAGAAAGAGAAAAGGUAAUUUCAAAAGCCAGUAGUGUGC